AGAGUUUGAUCAUGGCUCAGAUUGAACGCUGGCGGCAGGCCUAACACAUGCAAGUCGAACGGUAACAGGAAGCAGCUUGCUGCUUCGCUGACGAGUGGCGGACGGGUGAGUAAUGUCUGGGAAGCUGCCUGAUGGAGGGGGAUAACUACUGGAAACGGUAGCUAAUACCGCAUAAUGUCGCAAGACCAAAGAGGGGGACCUUCGGGCCUCUUGCCAUCGGAUGUGCCCAGAUGGGAUUAGCUUGUUGGUGGGGUAACGGCUCACCAAGGCGACGAUCCCUAGCUGGUCUGAGAGGAUGACCAGCCACACUGGAACUGAGACACGGUCCAGACUCCUACGGGAGGCAGCAGUGGGGAAUAUUGCACAAUGGGCGCAAGCCUGAUGCAGCCAUGCCGCGUGUAUGAAGAAGGCCUUCGGGUUGUAAAGUACUUUCAGCGGGGAGGAAGGGAGUAAAGUUAAUACCUUUGCUCAUUGACGUUACCCGCAGAAGAAGCACCGGCUAACUCCGUGCCAGCAGCCGCGGUAAUACGGAGGGUGCAAGCGUUAAUCGGAAUUACUGGGCGUAAAGCGCACGCAGGCGGUUUGUUAAGUCAGAUGUGAAAUCCCCGGGCUCAACCUGGGAACUGCAUCUGAUACUGGCAAGCUUGAGUCUCGUAGAGGGGGGUAGAAUUCCAGGUGUAGCGGUGAAAUGCGUAGAGAUCUGGAGGAAUACCGGUGGCGAAGGCGGCCCCCUGGACGAAGACUGACGCUCAGGUGCGAAAGCGUGGGGAGCAAACAGGAUUAGAUACCCUGGUAGUCCACGCCGUAAACGAUGUCGACUUGGAGGUUGUGCCCUUGAGGCGUGGCUUCCGGAGCUAACGCGUUAAGUCGACCGCCUGGGGAGUACGGCCGCAAGGUUAAAACUCAAAUGAAUUGACGGGGGCCCGCACAAGCGGUGGAGCAUGUGGUUUAAUUCGAUGCAACGCGAAGAACCUUACCUGGUCUUGACAUCCACGGAAGUUUUCAGAGAUGAGAAUGUGCCUUCGGGAACCGUGAGACAGGUGCUGCAUGGCUGUCGUCAGCUCGUGUUGUGAAAUGUUGGGUUAAGUCCCGCAACGAGCGCAACCCUUAUCCUUUGUUGCCAGCGGUCCGGCCGGGAACUCAAAGGAGACUGCCAGUGAUAAACUGGAGGAAGGUGGGGAUGACGUCAAGUCAUCAUGGCCCUUACGACCAGGGCUACACACGUGCUACAAUGGCGCAUACAAAGAGAAGCGACCUCGCGAGAGCAAGCGGACCUCAUAAAGUGCGUCGUAGUCCGGAUUGGAGUCUGCAACUCGACUCCAUGAAGUCGGAAUCGCUAGUAAUCGUGGAUCAGAAUGCCACGGUGAAUACGUUCCCGGGCCUUGUACACACCGCCCGUCACACCAUGGGAGUGGGUUGCAAAAGAAGUAGGUAGCUUAACCUUCGGGAGGACGCUUACCACUUUGUGAUUCAUGACUGGGGUGAAGUCGUAACAAGGUAACCGUAGGGGAACCUGCGGUUG
rnacentral:rRNA from 1 species